ensembl:lncRNA
AGGUCACGAAACAGAUUCCUGGGAGCAGCAGGCUCUGGAGUGGUGUGAAUUGCUGAUCUUCAGCCACUUGCCAGUGUUUCACGUCUUGGAGAGAUGAGCACUGCAAGGGGACUGGAAAAUGUCUGCCUGUCUUCAGAGAGAGAAGCUGACUGCUGUGUUGUGAUGCUCUGCCUUGCAGCAGCUGCUGCCAUGGUCAUGGCAGGAACAUGUUGAUGCUUCCAGAAGUAGGAAGCUGACCUGACAGGUUGCAGAGGAGCCUCAGGUUGUCCUGAACUCUGCUGGGUCAGGUUUACUGCAGAGCCAGCCUUGGAUUUGUACCAUUUUAACUCCCUUCUAGCACUAAUAUAAGGAAAUGAUGUAUUCUUGGAAGUGAUUAAAAUUCAGGUUAUAUUUCUGACGCUGUUGGUUCUAGUUUUCUGGUGAAGUUAUAGCAUGAGAAAAUACAGCCUGGUCUACCCAUGCUUACAAGGGGAUGAAGUAGCCUUUGUUUCUAUCUUAAUAUAUUGCAGUGUUUCUUGCAGUGCUAGAUGUGUGCUGCUUUCCAACCCAGAGGGGUCUAUAUUUCAGCAUGAGUGCGGUGAUCCAUAUACUGUUAUUAUCACACCAUGCAACACAAUCUCUAAAGCGCCUUGGGGUCCAUCUCUCUUGGAUGAAAAGCAUUAUAAAAAUGAAAGCAGCAAUUCUGCCAGAGGCUGCGCCGUCCAUAGGAUUUCUGCACCCGAGGGACGGAUUGCAGUACUGGGCGCUAAGUGGGGCUCCUCAGCUGUAUGGACCACUAUCUCAAGCAAGGGCAGAUAGCUGUUCUUCUCCAAGUUUUUUGUUGGUGGAUGUGCAGUUGGAUGCCUUGCGUGAUAAUUUUUGCAGCUAUUCUUCAACCUUAGCAGGAAGCUCUGUGCAGGCUUGAGCAGACGUCACUGUUGUCAGCAUAGGUCCACAUGUUCAGCCUUUUGAUUUUAUUUUCCAAAACUCUGGGAUUAUGGUCUCUGUUUUAUUUAAAAUGAAAUAUUUUGCCUAAAUAUCACCAGGGACUUGAGAUCUAUGUCUGUUGUGCAUAUACCUGAUAGACCAGUGAGCUGAGAUGUAAGAAAAGUGAUGGUCAAGAAUUUGACCGGUUAGUCUUGGAGGCUGUGGAAUGGGGGAAGAAUUUUUUCAGAGGAGGUGUGCUUUUUCCUCAUUUAUUUUAAAUUAUUUUUCCUUCCUCUAACAUGUGGAUGUGUACAAUUUCUAAUGAUUUGUUAUUGUUUUUAGUUCACAGUGACAUAAAAGGAAUGACCACAAAGUUCUGAAAAUCCAUGAGCUAUCUGCAGAAAGUUUUGAGUCAAAAUUUGAAUCAAAUGACUGUCUUUACUAUAAUCAUAAGACAGAGUUUUCUGCAUGAAGAAAACCUUUCUCCUUCACACUUCUGGGUGAAUGUGAGCCCAAAUAUUAAGAAAACUUUCAGAUUCAUUGUCCAUUGUUUUCUUCAGGUUCCUAUAUUGUAUUAUGUUGUUGUUCUGAGCAGCUUUGGCCACAGAAGAACAUGCAGGAGAGAAAUUUUAUGGCCUAGAUAGGAAUAGUUCUUAUAAACCAAGUCUAAUACAGUUGGAUACAGAAUUUUUCCCUCCUUAAUUUGACUUAUUUGUAACGUACCUGUUCUGACCAGAAAGUUGUGCCUAGAAGGACUUGCUGACUUGGGUGAUUGUCAGUUAGCUAUUUUCAAUGGUUAAAAGGCUGAUAGAUAAUAAUAAUAAAAAUCCAUAUAAAAUACCA